AGCACAAGCAAGAGAAGCACUUUGCAGACCAUUCCUCCUUCGGAAAGGAGGCAUUCUCCGAAAAAGAGCAAGAUAGUGGAAAAUGAAAUGGAAAAAAAAAAAAAAAAAACACCCAAAAGUGUACUUUUCUGAGUUGUUUUGGAAAUUUAUGUAAAUUGAUGGGCACCUCCUACAAGAAUGAAUUUCCCCCCAUCCCACUGCAUCCCAUAAACACCCUGGACGCACGUCCGUCCGAAGCCCGUGGCCAACCGAAGACGCUCUCUCUGUACGGCCAGGCUGGAGGUUCUUUUUUUCUUUUCUUCUAUUUUUUUGCGGUCCGUUAGGUGAACUCCCAUUGUUAUCAUUUCCUGCCACUCGAUCUGUGGUGAAACCCCAAGUAUGUACUGUAAAAACAACGUCACAGUAAAGAAGGCCGGGACCUGGCCCUGGUGUCCGAGGGCUGUGGGUCUUUUCCCCACCUAAGAGCACCGAUGAAAAGGACUCUUUGGAUUCGGAAAGUACGACAGCGGGUGGAACUGGGGGUCUCUCUCUCCCUCUCUCUCCCUCUCUCUCUCAGACACACACACACACACACACACACACCUCCUUGAUCGCAACAGACCUGGGACUGAAUUGCAUCAGAAUGUUGCCUGUGCACCUUCUCCACACGACUCCUCCUGGCUGAGGACUUCGCACAUGGAAUAUUGCCAGUAUGCAGGACAUGGAGGGAAUAGAAGCAGCACAGUCUGGCUUCACAGACCAGCUGACAAUGACUUGCUACCGUGGCCACCUCAGAGGAGUGACGGACAGCCCUUUGGCACGUCGCACAGGAUAUACCUGUCUACAUCGCUGGACUGGAUCAUCUGGACCAGCGACUCGGAUCCUGUUAGGCUCCGUGGUGAAGAAUCAAGGGUGAGACCUGCUGUCUCUGAGAGGACCCCCUGCAAAGAAUGUUUACUGAUUCCAUGGAGACAAUCUGACUGGCCAGGUACAAUGGCAAUGGUGAGAGUGUGCCAAAGAGCUGGUUUAUCCAGUGUUACAAACAGUGAUUGGGUUGGGUCAUGCACAACUUGUGGGUCUGCCUGCGAGUAUGACGACUCGGGGUCUAGCGGGGGGUUUUGA
rnacentral:lncRNA from 1 species